rnacentral:rRNA from 1 species
UUAUAUGGUCAAGAAGAGAAGCGCAAACGGUGGAUGCCUUGGCAGUAAGAGGCGAAGAAGGACGUGGAAUCCUGCGAAAAGCUAUGGGGAGCUGGAAACGAGCGUUGAGCCAUAGAUGUCCGAAUGGGGGAACCCGGCUGCAGCGAUGCGGUCAUUUGCAUUUGAAUACAUAGGGUGCAAAGGCGAACUCGGGGAACUGAAACAUCUAAGUACCCGAAGGAAAAGAAAUCAAGAGAGAUUCUCCAAGUAGCGGCGAGCGAACGGGGAGGAGCCUGGCGUGAUUUAUUAUUGAACUGAGUAGAACAAUUUGGGAAAGUUGGCCGUAGAGGGUGAAAGCCCCGUAUACGAAGGUUUGAUGAGGAACUAGGCACGCGAACAAGUAGGCCGGGACACGUGAAAUCCUGGUUGAAGAUGGGUGGACCAUCAUCCAAGGCUAAAUACUACUUACUGACCGAUAGUGAACCAGUACCGUGAGGGAAAGGUGAAAAGAACCCCGGAGAGGGGAGUGAAAUAGAAUCUGAAACCGUUU